rnacentral:rRNA from 1 species
GACGAACGCUGGCGGCGUGCUUAACACAUGCCAGUCGAACGGAAAGGCCCUGCUUUUGUGGGGUGCUCGAGUGGCGAACGGGUGAGUAACACGUGUGUAACCUGCCCUUGACUUUGGGAUAACUUCAGGAAACUGGGGCUAAUACCGGAUAGGAUCUCCUGCUGCAUGGUGGGGGUUGGAAAGUUUCGGCGGUUGGGGAUGGACUCGCGGCUUAUCAGCUUGUUGGUGGGGUAGUGGCUUACCAAGGCUUUGACGGGUAGCCGGCCUGAGAGGGUGACCGGCCACAUGGGAACUGGGAUACGGCCCAGACUCCUACGGGAGGCAGCAGUGGGGAAUAUUGAACAAUGGGCGGAAGCCUGAUGCAGCAACGCCGCGUGCGGGAUGACGGCCUUCGGGUUGUAAACCGCUUUCGCCUGUGACGAAGCGUGAGUGACGGUAAUGGGUAAAGAAGCACCGGCUAACUACGU